GAUGAACGCUGGCGGCGUGCCUAAUACAUGCAAGUCGAGCGAACAGACGAGGAGCUUGCUCCUCUGACGUUAGCGGCGGACGGGUGAGUAGCACGUGGAUAACCUACCUAUAAGACUGGGAUAACUUCGGGAAACCGGAGCUAAUACCGGAUAAUAUAUUGAACCGCAUGGUUCAAUAGUGAAAGACGGUUUUGCUGACACUUAUAGAUGGAUCCGCGCCGCAUUAGCUAGUUGGUAAGGUAACGGCUUACCAAGGCGACGAUGCGUAGCCGACCUGAGAGGGUGAUCGGCCACACUGGAACUGAGACACGGUCCAGACUCCUACGGGAGGCAGCAGUAGGGAAUCUUCCGCAAUGGGCGAAAGCCUGACGGAGCAACGCCGCGUGAGUGAUGAAGGUCUUCGGAUCGUAAAACUCUGUUAUUAGGGAAGAACAAAUGUGUAAGUAACUAUGCACGUCUUGACGGUACCUAAUCAGAAAGCCACGGCUAACUACGUG
rnacentral:rRNA from 1 species